GCCGGGGUACCUUUCCGUGGGGCAAGGCUCUGCCAAAAUCUGGGAGUGAGGGGAGUCAGGGAGCUGGGGCCGCAGGGCGGGCCCUGCACCGCAAAUGGGAGGGGGGCGACGGAAUGGGCGUGCGCACCCAUGGGGGUGUGUGCAUGUGUGUGGGAGUGUACAUGCGUGGAGAGGCACUGCCUUGCGUGUGUGCACACGUGUGAGGAUGUCAGCGCCUGUGUGGCCGCGGGACUCAAGGCUGGCCUGGCUCAAGUGAACAGCACGUCCAGGAGGCGACCUCGUCCGCGGGGGUUCGGUCCGAGCCCGGUGGGAGGCUCCCGGAGCGCAGCCUGGGCCCAGCCCACCCCGCGCCGGCGGCCAUGGCAGGCACCCUGGACCUGGACAAGGGCUGCACGGUGGA
rnacentral:lncRNA from 1 species